UGUUUCGGCUAGGGGGCCAUCCCGGCUUACCAACCCGAUGCAAACUGCGAAUACCGGAGAAUGUUAUCACGGGAGACACACGGCGGGUGCUAACGUCCGUCGUGAAGAGGGAAACAACCCAGACCGCCAGCUAAGGUCCCAAAGUCAUGGUUAAGUGGGAAACGAUGUGGGAAGGCCCAGACAGCCAGGAUGUUGGCUUAGAAGCAGCCAUCAUUUAAAGAAAGCGUAAUAGCUCACUGGUCGAGUCGGCCUGCGCGGAAGAUGUAACGGGGCUAAACCAUGCACCGAAGCUGCGGCAGCGACGCUGAUGCGUUGUUGGGUAGGGGAGCGUUCUGUAAGCCUGUGAAGGUGGCCUGUGAGGGUUGCUGGAGGUAUCAGAAGUGCGAAUGCUGACAUAAGUAACGAUAAAGCGGGUGAAAAGCCCGCUCGCCGGAAGACCAAGGGUUCCUGUCCAACGUUAAUCGGGGCAGGGUGAGUCGACCCCUAAGGCGAGGCCGAAAGGCGUAGUCGAUGGGAAACGGGUUAAUAUUCCCGUACUUGGUGUUACUGCGAAGGGGGGACGGAGAAGGCUAUGUUGGCCGGGCGACGGUUGUCCCGGUUU
rnacentral:rRNA from 1 species